GGAUGUGAAAAUAAUCUGGUGACAUCUGUCACCCUGUGACUGCCAGGGUUGAUUCAACUGAUCUGGCUGGAUAAGAAGAUGUCCCAUUCCUCCCUCACCGCUCCAUAUGUGUUUCUCUCAAAUCUGCCUUCUGAUUGAAGAGGACAACCUUUGUCAAACAGAGGAGGCUCUGUCUCUUGUCAAGGGUAUAUGAACAUGAGUAGCUAUGCACCCCUGCUAGAACGUCCAAAAGAAUUCUUAAGAAAAAAACUAGCUAUAGAUUCAAUGCAAUAGCUAUUAUAAUUCCAGUCACAUUCUUUACAGAAAUGGAGAAA
rnacentral:snRNA from 1 species